rnacentral:rRNA from 1 species
GACGAACGCUGGCGGCGUGCUUAACACAUGCAAGUCGAACGGAAAGGCCCUGCUUUUGUGGGGUGCUCGAUUGGCGAACGGGUGAGUAACACGUGAGUAUCCUGCCCUUGACUUUGGGAUAACUUCAGGAAACUGGGGCUAAUACCGGAUAGGAUCUCCUGCUGCAUGGUGGGGGUUGGAAAGUUUCGGCGGUUUGGGAUGGACUCGCGGGUUAUCAGCUUGUUUGUGGGGUAGUUGCUUACCAAGGGUUUGACGGGUAGCCGGCAUGAGAGGGUUACCGGCGACAAUGGGCCUGAGAUAGGGCGCAGAAUCCAACGGGCGGCAGCAGUGGGAAACAUGGCAGAACGGGCGGAAGCCUGAUGCAGAGAUCUUGCGUGCGGGAUGCCGGCCUUCGGGUUGUAAACAGAUUUCGAAUGUGGCGAAGAGUGAGUGACGGUAAUGGGUAAAGAAGCACCGGCUAACUACGUG